CAGUGUCCCCGCGGCGGGUGGCGGCUGCGGCGUCUGUGCAACGCGAGGGGGCGGAGGGAGCCCGCGGCGGCGGCCACAGCGAAAUGGCGGAGACCGUGGCGGACACCCGGAGACUCAUCACUAAGCCGCAGAACCUGAAUGACGCCUACGGGCCGCCCAGCAACUUCCUGGAGAUCGAUGUGAGCAACCCGCAGACGGUGGGGGUCGGCCAGGGCCGCUUCACCACCUACGAGAUCAGGGUCAAGACAAAUCUUCCUAUUUUCAAACUAAAGGAAUCUACUGUUAGAAGAAGAUACAGCGACUUUGAAUGGCUCCGAAGUGAAUUAGAAAGAGAGAGCAAGGUUGUAGUUCCCCCGCUCCCUGGGAAGGCAUUUUUGCGUCAACUUCCUUUUAGAGGAGAUGAUGGAAUGUUUGAUGACAAUUUUAUUGAGGAAAGGAAGCAAGGCCUGGAGCAAUUUAUAAACAAGGUCGCUGGUCAUCCUCUGGCACAGAAUGAACGUUGGCUUCACAUGUUUUUACAGGAUGAAAUAAUAGAUAAAAGCUAUACUCCAUCUAAGACAUGCUUGAAAUUUGGCAAAGGCAAAAAUGUGGCUAUCCAUGUUUCAUAUGCACCAUUGAAGACGUUCUAA